rnacentral:rRNA from 1 species
GGCCUAUUGAGUAUAAUUUUAGGUCGAUCUGCUCCAUGAAAUAGAUUUAAAUAGCUGCAGUAUAUUGACUGUACAAAGGUAGCAUAAUAAAUUGUCUUUUAAUUGAAGAAUUGAAUGAAUGAAUUGAUGAAAUAACAACUGUCUCUAUUUUAUUUAAUGAAUUUAAAUUUUUAGUAAAAAUUCUGAAAUUUAAUUAUGGGACGAUAAGACCCUAUAGAAUUUUAUUUAAUAUAAUUAUUUAUUUAAAUUAUUUGUGAAUAUAUAAUUAAUUUAAAUUUGAUUAGGAGGAUUGGUAAAUAAAAAUAACUUUAUCUAAAAAUUAAUUUUGAUGAAAAGAUUUUUUUUGACUUAUAAUUUAUGAUUAAAAGAAUAAAUUACCUUAGGGAUAACAGCGUAAUAUCUUUUGAUAGACCACAUUGAUAAAGAUGUUUGCGACCUCGAUGUUGAAUUAAGAGAAAAGUUAAACGCAGGAGUUUAAAAUUUUAAGUCUGUUCGACUUUUAAAAUCUU